rnacentral:tRNA from 1 species
UACUCUUUUAAUAUAACCAGUAUAAGUGACUUCCAAUCGCUAUGUUUCAGCAUAAAUCUGAAAAAGAGUAA